CAGUAGCCGCGGUAAUACGUAGGGCGCGAGCGUUGUCCGGAAUUAUUGGGCGUAAAGCGUGCGCAGGCGGUUUGUUAAGACAGAUGUGAAAUCCCCGGGCUCAACCUGGGAACUGCAUUUGUGACUGGCAAGCUAUAGUAUGGCAGAGGGGGGUGGAAUUCCGCGUGUAGCAGUGAAAUGCGUAGAUAUCGGAAGGAACACCUGUGGCGAAUGCGGCUCACUGGACCAUAACUGACGCUGAUGCCCGAAAGCAUGGGAGCGAACAGGAUUAGAUACCCCGGUAGUCCCUGUCUCUUAUACA
rnacentral:rRNA from 1 species